rnacentral:rRNA from 1 species
AGCGAACGCUGGCGGCAGGCUUAACACAUGCAAGUCGAGCGCCCCGCAAGGGGAGCGGCAGACGGGUGAGUAACGCGUGGGAACGUACCCUUUGCUACGGAAUAGCUCCGGGAAACUGGAAUUAAUACCGUAUGUGCCCUACGGGGGAAAGAUUUAUCGGCAAAGGAUCGGCCCGCGUUGGAUUAGCCAGUUGGUGGGGUAAUGGCCUACCAAGGCGACGAUCCAUAGCUGGUCUGAGAGGAUGAUCAGCCACAUUGGGACUGAGACACGGCCCAAACUCCGACGGGAGGCAGCAGUGGGGAAUAUUGGACAAUGGGCGCAAGCCUGAUCCAGCCAUGCCGCGUGAGUGAUGAAGGCCUUAGGGUUGUAAAGCUCUUUCACCGGGGACGAUAAUGACGGUACCCGGAGAAGAAGCUCCGGCUAACUUCGUGCCAGCCGCCGCAGUAACAC